rnacentral:rRNA from 1 species
GACGAACCGUGCGAACGUUAUUCGGAAUCACUGGGCUUAAAGCGCGUGUAGGCGGAUGGGAACGUCGGUAGUUGAAAGCCCCCGGCUCAACCGGGGAAGUGGUGCCGAAACGACCCGUCUGGAGGAACGUAGGGGGAUCUGGAACUUCCGGUGGAGCGGUGAAAUGCGUUGAGAUCGGAAGGAACGCCCGUGGCGAAAGCGAGAUCCUGGACGUCUACUGACGCUGAGACGCGAAAGCUAGGGGAGCAAACGGG